rnacentral:rRNA from 1 species
UCGAGAAUCUUUAGCAAUGGGGGAAACCCUGACUAUGCGACGCCGCGUGAGGGAUGAAGGUCUUCGGAUUGUAAACCUCUUUCGACCGGAAAGAAUGUCUUCGGUGCUAACAGUACCGAGGAUUGACGGUACCGGGAGAAGAAGCCACGGCCAACUCCGUGCCAGCAGCCGCGGUAAUACGGAGGUGGCGAGCGUUACUCGGAUUUAUUGGGUGUAAAGGGCAGGUAGGUGGCCUGACAAGUGGGAAGUGAAAUCCUGCGGCUUAAUCGCAGAACAGCUUUCCAAACUAUCGGGCUUGAGUGUGAGAGAGGGGAAUGGAACUCCUGGUGUAGAGGUGAAAUUCGUAGAGAUCAGGAGGAACACCAUUGGCGAAGGCGAUUCCCUGGAUCACAACUGACACUGAGCUGCGAAAGUUAGGGGAGAGAACA